GUGCAGUGCUGCAUCUCUGG
rnacentral:miRNA from 2 species